rnacentral:rRNA from 1 species
AGAGUUUGAUCCUGGCUCAGGACGAACGCUGGCGGCGUGCCUAACACAUGCAAGUCGAACGGAGAAUUUCAAUAAGUUUACUUAGAGAAAUUCUUAGUGGCGGACGGGUGAGUAACGCGUGGGUAACCUACCCAUAAAAUCGGGACAACCCUUGGAAACGAGGGCUAAUACCGAAUAAUCUUAGAUGCUGGCAUCAGCGCCUAAGGAAAGAUGGCCUCUGAGUAUGCUAUCGAUUAUGGAUGGACCCGCGUCUGAUUAGCUAGUUGGUGGGGUAAAGGCCUACCAAGGCGACGAUCAGUAGCCGGCCUGAGAGGGUGAACGGCCACACUGGGACUGAGACACGGCCCAGACUCCUACGGGAGGCAGCAGUGGGGAAUCUUCCGCAAUGGACGAAAGUCUGACGGAGCAACGCCGCGUGUAUGAUGAAGGUCUUCGGAUUGUAAAGUACUGUCUUUGGGGAAGAACGGUCUCUUUGAGAAUAUUGAGGGGACAUGACGGUACCCAAGGAGGAAGCCCCGGCUAACUACGUGCCAGCAGCCGCGGUAAUACGUAGGGGGCAAGCGUUGUCCGGAAUUAUUGGGCGUAAAGGGCGCGUAGGCGGAUAUUUAAGUCCGGUGUGAAAGAUCAGGGCUCAACCCUGAGAGUGCAUCGGAAACUGGGUAUCUUGAGGACAGGAGAGGAAAGUGGAAUUCCACGUGUAGCGGUGAAAUGCGUAGAUAUGUGGAGGAACACCAGUGGCGAAGGCGACUUUCUGGACUGUAACUGACGCUGAGGCGCGAAAGCGUGGGGAGCAAACAGGAUUAGAUACCCUGGUAGUCCACGCCGUAAACGAUGAGUGCUAGGUGUAGAGGGUAUCGACCCCUUCUGUGCCGCAGUUAACACAAUAAGCACUCCGCCUGGGAGU